ACUUAGAUUACAUAGGCGAAGCCAGUGGUUCUUCUUUCAUAUCCAUAACACCUGUGCACUGUUGGAUGCUUGCAUCCACUUUUAAACUAAACAUUAUUGUAACAAAUGUAGUCUUAUUAUAACAUAAUAAAACUUUCAACAACGGAUCUCUUGGCUCUCGCAUCGAUGAAGAACGCAGCGAAAUGCGAUAAGUAAUGUGAAUUGCAGAAUUCAGUGAAUCAUCGAAUCUUUGAACGCACCUUGCGCUCCUUGGUAUUCCGAGGAGCAUGCCUGUUUGAGUGUCAUGAAACCCUCAAACCCAAGUUUUGGAUUUCGAUCCAUGCUUGAGUUUGGAUUUGGAUGUUUGCCGGUGAUGAACCGACUCAUCUUAAAAGUAUUAGCUUGGAUCUGUCUAUAUGACUGGUUUGACUUGGCAUAAUAAGUAUUUUGCUGAGGACAUCUUCGGAUGGCCAGGACCUAGACUACUGUCUGCUAACUAAACCAUCACUUUAAGUGCAUCUUUGGAUGUUACUCAUUGUGUAACUUUGACAUCUGGCCUCAAAUCAAGUAGGACUACCCGCUGAACUUAAGCAUAUCAAAAAUGGGAA
rnacentral:rRNA from 1 species